CUGGGUUAAUUCAGUCUGAACUGACGGCUUUAGAUAGGAGUUUGGGUUGCCCUGAUUUUGGUAUUUGGGCUUGUGAGUCUCCCUAGUGCUUUACCCAGAGCUGACAUCUGCUGUGAUCCGAAAACAGAUGUUCCCUUUCCAGGUCUCCAAGGCCAGGAGAAGCACCCUGGCAAUUUCGUCACAUUAGUCACAUGUGUUCUGGAGCAAAAGUGUUGACAGCAGAAGUUUUGCACACAGAGCUAUAAAGAUGAAUAUGAACUUACCAAAGUCCCACUAUGAAGAUGCCUGGGAACCCUGAAUGUGCCGCCCGGAAGGAGUGCUGGGUUCCUGUGUCUGCUGCCCUUAACCUUGUCUUUGCCACUCCAAAUAGUUGAUUCAUUAAAUUUCUGCGAUA
rnacentral:lncRNA from 13 species